AGCGAACGCUGGCGGCAGGCUUAACACAUGCAAGUCGAGCGGGCGUAGCAAUACGUCAGCGGCAGACGGGUGAGUAACGCGUGGGAACAUACCUUUUGGUUCGGAACAACCCAGGGAAACUUGGGCUAAUACCGGAUAAGCCCUUACGGGGAAAGAUUUAUCGCCGAAAGAUUGGCCCGCGUCUGAUUAGCUAGUUGGUGAGGUAACGGCUCACCAGGGCGACGAUCAGUAGCUGGCUGAGAGGAUGAUCAACCACAUUGGGACUGAGACACGGCCCAAACUCCUACGGGAGGCAGCAGUGGGGAAUAUUGGACAAUGGGGGCAACCCUGAUCCAGCCAUGCCGCGUGAGUGAUGAAGGCCCUAGGGUUGUAAAGCUCUUUUGUGCGGGAAGAUAAUGACGGUACCGCAAGAAUAA
rnacentral:rRNA from 1 species